UGGGGAAUAUUGGGCAAUGGGGGAAACCCUGACCCAGCAACGCCGCGUGAGGGAAGAAGGUCUUCGGAUUGUAAACCUAUGUCCUAUGGGACGAAAAAAAUGACGGUACCAUAGGAGGAAGCUCCGGCUAACUACGUGCCAGCAGCCGCGGUAGUACGUAGGGAGCAAGCGUUGUCCGGAAUUACUGGGCGUAAAGGGUGCGUAGGUGGCUUGACAAGUCAGAUGUGAAAGACCGGGGCUUAACCCCGGGGUUGCAUUUGAAACUGUUGAGCUUGAGUGCAGGAGAGGGAAGUGGAAUUCCUAGUGUAGCGGUGAAAUGCGUAGAUAUUAGGAGGAACACCGGUGGCGAAGGCGGCUUUCUGGACUGCAACUGACACUGAGGCACGAAAGCGUGGGGAGCAAACAG
rnacentral:rRNA from 1 species